GCAUGUAUAAAAUAAACAUCAGUGGGGAAAGGAAGAGAUUUCUCAGGGGGCAAAAAAGUCACGGAAAGGUGUGCUGCACCCUGGGCAGUAAGUGGAGGAUCAGGUUACUCUGUUGUUGUAAAUAGUGUCAAUUCUGUAUUCUAGAUGGAAAACCCAGCAAAUGACAGCUUUCUCUAGUAAUUCCUGAGGCCAUCUGCCCCGCUUUAGAGAAUAAGUCAUAAGUAAACCUCUGAACUAAGACAGUCUCGCUGGUCCUCUCCUUUCGCAAUUGUCUUCCAGUCUCAAUGGGAUACUGAAGAGGAGGCUCUUCAGUAUAGAAUAAACAGUGCAAUCCUUGUCCGGGAAUGACUGCCUGGCAGUUGUUUCAUGGAAAACAGGGAGGGGUGGGGGACAACAACCCUUUUCUGUUCACUGGCUCUUUAAUUUAGAUUACCAAUGAUAAAGCCCGGGCUACGGCUAAAGAAAGGUAGGAUGCAGACGCAGGAACAUUAGUGCUAAUAUGCUGCAGAAAGACGAGAUAAAUCAGCCCAGCUCUCAUACAUCACUGAGGGAGACGCUGAUUGCAACUUGACCAUGUGCCUGAGUAGUCCCCUCAGUGAGAGGAGCAGAACAUGGAUUAAAAAAAUCUAGAAUGUACCUUUAGGGGCUCCUGCUGAGCUGGACCUGGGAGGAGAGUCUGGUGUAAGUUUCAGCUCGUUUUAUCCACGUAUUUGCCAGUGUGUUCCCACGCAGGGAGCUUGUUUCUCUUUCUCUGUUUUCAUGGAAGCCUCAAGCAUGUUUAUUUACAGUCCUAGACUUCAUUUUGUAUAAAUGGAAUACCAACCUAAUAAAGUUCUUAACAGAGAACAGUUUAGCCCAGGGUUUAUCCAGAAGAGAAAUGUGAAAAAGUGAUGUGAUCAUUACUGUCUAUAGGAAGCCUGUGGAAAUAUCGGCAGUACAUGGCGGGACUUCUGGCUCCUCCUUAUGGUGUUAUGGAAACGGGCUCUAACAAUGAUAAUACCCUAACUUCUAUCCACUCCAGUAUGAGGAUUUGUACAACUGCGUUUGUCUUAUUAAACCUCCCAGAAAGUAAGCUUCUGUUACAACCCUGUAUCUCCUC
rnacentral:lncRNA from 1 species